rnacentral:rRNA from 1 species
CCUACGUGUGGCAGCAGUGAGGAAUAUUGGUCAAUGGACGAGAGUCUGAACCAGCCAAGUAGCGUGAAGGAUGACUGCCCUAUGGGUUGUACACUUCUUUUAUAUGGGAAUAAAACAGGGUAUGCAUACCCUCUUGUAUGUACCAUAUGAAUAAGGAUCGGCUAACUCCGUGUCAGCAGCCGCGGUAAUACGGAGGAUCCGAGCGUUAUCCGGAUUUAUUGGGUUUAAAGGGAGCGUAGGUGGAUUGUUAAGUCAGUUGUGAAAGUUUGCGGCUCAACCGUAAAAUUGCAGUUGAAACUGGCAGUCGUGAGUACAGUAGAGGUGGGCGGAAUUCGUGGUGUAGCGGUGAAAUGCUUAGAUAUCACGAAGAACUCCGAUUGCGAAGGCAGAUCACUGGACUGCAACUGACACUGAUGCUCGAAAGUGUGGGUAUCAAACAGGAUUAGAUACCCCAGUAGUC